GCACCAAAACUUACCCAUUCCUGACUGUGCUGUGUGGGUGUGGGGAUACAUGGUGCUUAGAAAAAAGCAGAGUAAAUCCAGACAGGUGACUCCACCCAUUGAGCACCUGUCCCUACACCUCUGCAACAGUC
rfam:Chaetura pelagica isolate M959 contig42986, whole genome shotgun sequence.